rnacentral:rRNA from 1 species
CCCUCCGAAGUUUCCCUCAGGAUAGCUGGUGCAUUUUAAAAUUAUAUAAAAUAAUCUUAUCUGGUAAAGCGAAUGAUUAGAGGCCUUAGGGUCGAAACGACCUUAACCUAUUCUCAAACUUUAAAUGGGUAAGAACCUAACCUUUCUUGAUAUGAAGGUUCAGGUUAUGAUAUAAUGUGCCCAGUGGGCCACUUUUGGUAAGCAGAACUGGCGCUGUGGGAUGAACCAAACGUAAUGUUACGGUGCCUAAAUUUACAACUCAUGCAGAUACCAUGAAAGGCGUUGGUUGCUUAAAACAGCAGGACGGUGGACAUGGAAGUCGUAAUCCGCUAAGGAGUGUGUAACAACUCACCUGCCGAAGCAACUAGCCCUUAAAAUGGAUGGCGCUUAAGUUGUAUACCUAUACAUUACCGCUAAAGUACAUGAUUUAUAAUACAAUUUCGGUUGU